UUAAGCGACUAAGCGUACACGGUGGAUGCCUUGGCAGUCAGAGGCGAUGAAGGACGUGCUAAUCUGCGAUAAGCGUCGGUAAGGUGAUAUGAACCGUUAUAACCGGCGAUUUCCGAAUGGGGAAACCCAGUGUGAUUCGUCACACUAUCAUUAACUGAAUCCAUAGGUUAAUGAGGCGAACCGGGGGAACUGAAACAUCUAAGUACCCCGAGGAAAAGAAAUCAACCGAGAUUCCCCCAGUAGCGGCGAGCGAACGGGGAGCAGCCCAGAGCCUGAAUCAGUGUGUGUGUUAGUGGAAGCGUUUGGAAAGGCGUGCGAUACAGGGUGACAGCCCCGUACACAAAAAUGCACAUACUGUGAGCUCGAUGAGUAGGGCGGGACACGUGGUAUCCUGUCUGAAUAUGGGGGGACCAUCCUCCAAGGCUAAAUACUCCUGACUGACCGAUAGUGAACCAGUACCGUGAGGGAAAGGCGAAAAGAACCCCGGCGAGGGGAGUGAAAAAGAACCUGAAACCGUGUACGUACAAGCAGUGGGAGCACGCUUAGGCGUGUGACUGCGUACCUUUUGUAUAAUGGGUCAGCGACUUAUAUUCUGUAGCAAGGUUAACCGAAUAGGGGAGCCGAAGGGAAACCGAGUCUUAACUGGGCGUUAAGUUGCAGGGUAUAGACCCGAAACCCGGUGAUCUAGCCAUGGGCAGGUUGAAGGUUGGGUAACACUAACUGGAGGACCGAACCGACUAAUGUUGAAAAAUUAGCGGAUGACUUGUGGCUGGGGGUGAAAGGCCAAUCAAACCGGGAGAUAGCUGGUUCUCCCCGAAAGCUAUUUAGGUAGCGCCUCGUGAAUUCAUCUCCGGGGGUAGAGCACUGUUUCGGCAAGGGGGUCAUCCCGACUUACCAACCCGAUGCAAACUGCGAAUACCGGAGAAUGUUAUCACGGGAGACACACGGCGGGUGCUAACGUCCGUCGUGAAGAGGGAAACAACCCAGACCGCCAGCUAAGGUCCCAAAGUCAUGGUUAAGUGGGAAACGAUGUGGGAAGGCCCAGACAGCCAGGAUGUUGGCUUAGAAGCAGCCAUCAUUUAAAGAAAGCGUAAUAGCUCACUGGUCGAGUCGGCCUGCGCGGAAGAUGUAACGGGGCUAAACCAUGCACCGAAGCUGCGGCAGAGACGCUUAUGCGUUGUUGGGUAGGGGAGCGUUCUGUAAGCCUGUGAAGGUGUACUGUGAGGUAUGCUGGAGGUAUCAGAAGUGCGAAUGCUGACAUAAGUAACGAUAAAGCGGGUGAAAAGCCCGCUCGCCGGAAGACCAAGGGUUCCUGUCCAACGUUAAUCGGGGCAGGGUGAGUCGACCCCUAAGGCGAGGCCGAAAGGCGUAGUCGAUGGGAAACAGGUUAAUAUUCCUGUACUUGGUGUUACUGCGAAGGGGGGACGGAGAAGGCUAUGUUGACCGGGCGACGGUUGUCCCGGUUUAAGCGUGUAGGCUGGUUUUCCAGGCAAAUCCGGAAAAUCAAGGCCGAGGCGUGAUGACGAGGCACUACGGUGCUGAAGCAACAAAUGCCCUGCUUCCAGGAAAAGCCUCUAAGCAUCAGGUAACAUCAAAUCGUACCCCAAACCGACACAGGUGGUCAGGUAGAGAAUACCAAGGCGCUUGAGAGAACUCGGGUGAAGGAACUAGGCAAAAUGGUGCCGUAACUUCGGGAGAAGGCACGCUGAUACGUAGGUGAAGCGACUUGCUCGUGGAGCUGAAAUCAGUCGAAGAUACCAGCUGGCUGCAACUGUUUAUUAAAAACACAGCACUGUGCAAACACGAAAGUGGACGUAUACAGUGUGACGCCUGCCCGGUGCCGGAAGGUUAAUUGAUGGGGUUAGCGCAAGCGAAGCUCUUGAUCGAAGCCCCGGUAAACGGCGGCCGUAACUAUAACGGUCCUAAGGUAGCGAAAUUCCUUGUCGGGUAAGUUCCGACCUGCACGAAUGGCGUAAUGAUGGCCAGGCUGUCUCCACCCGAGACUCAGUGAAAUUGAACUCGCUGUGAAGAUGCAGUGUACCCGCGGCAAGACGGAAAGACCCCGUGAACCUUUACUAUAGCUUGACACUGAACAUUGAGCCUUGAUGUGUAGGAUAGGUGGGAGGCUUUGAAGUGUGGACGCCAGUCUGCAUGGAGCCGACCUUGAAAUACCACCCUUUAAUGUUUGAUGUUCUAACGUGGACCCGUGAUCCGGGUUGCGGACAGUGUCUGGUGGGUAGUUUGACUGGGGCGGUCUCCUCCUAAAGAGUAACGGAGGAGCACGAAGGUUGGCUAAUCCUGGUCGGACAUCAGGAGGUUAGUGCAAUGGCAUAAGCCAGCUUGACUGCGAGCGUGACGGCGCGAGCAGGUGCGAAAGCAGGUCAUAGUGAUCCGGUGGUUCUGAAUGGAAGGGCCAUCGCUCAACGGAUAAAAGGUACUCCGGGGAUAACAGGCUGAUACCGCCCAAGAGUUCAUAUCGACGGCGGUGUUUGGCACCUCGAUGUCGGCUCAUCACAUCCUGGGGCUGAAGUAGGUCCCAAGGGUAUGGCUGUUCGCCAUUUAAAGUGGUACGCGAGCUGGGUUUAGAACGUCGUGAGACAGUUCGGUCCCUAUCUGCCGUGGGCGCUGGAGAACUGAGGGGGGCUGCUCCUAGUACGAGAGGACCGGAGUGGACGCAUCACUGGUGUUCGGGUUGUCAUGCCAAUGGCACUGCCCGGUAGCUAAAUGCGGAAGAGAUAAGUGCUGAAAGCAUCUAAGCACGAAACUUGCCCCGAGAUGAGUUCUCCCUGACCCUUUAAGGGUCCUGAAGGAACGUUGAAGACGACGACGUUGAUAGGCCGGGUGUGUAAGCGCAGCGAUGCGUUGAGCUAACCGGUACUAAUGAACCGUGAGGCUUAACCUU
rnacentral:rRNA from 1 species